AUUGAACGCUGGCGGCAUGCCUUACACAUGCAAGUCGAACGGCAGCGGACCUUCGGGUGCCGGCGAGUGGCGAACGGGUGAGUAAUGCAUCGGAACGUACCUUUCAGUGGGGGAUAACGUAGCGAAAGUUACGCUAAUACCGCAUAUUCUGUGAGCAGGAAAGCAGGGGAUCGCUAGACCUUGCGCUGAUUGAGCGGCCGAUGUCAGAUUAGCUAGUUGGUGAGGUAAAGGCUCACCAAGGCGACGAUCUGUAGCGGGUCUGAGAGGAUGAUCCGCCACGCUGGAACUGAGACACGGUCCAGACUCCUACGGGAGGCAGCAGUGGGGAAUUUUGGACAAUGGGGGCAACCCUGAUCCAGCCAUGCCGCGUGAGUGAAGAAGGCCUUCGGGUUGUAAAGCUCUUUCGGCCGGGAAGAAAUCGCACGGGCUAAUACCCUGUGUGGAUGACCGUACCGGAAUAAGAAGUACCGGCUAACUACGUGCCAGCCGCCGCGGUAACAC
rnacentral:rRNA from 1 species